rfam:Bacillus azotoformans LMG 9581 contig11, whole genome shotgun sequence.
AACACCGUGAGGUGUUGUCUGAAGGAGAUGCGGAAAGUCGUGAGACCCGUAGGUGAAUAGGUAGACCCUAAUGCAAUAAGUGUGAAGCACGGCGGCGGGAUAAGUUGGUGACUUUUCGAAAAGUGAGGAAGCCCACUAAACAGGCAUUUCUUUAGAAGUCAGACCGAAGAAAUGUGGCUUAUAACGUGAUGGUGCAGGGUAUGCCCAGAAGGGAAAUGCG